GCCGCCUUAGCUCAGUUGGUUAGAGCGCUUGCUUGUGGAGCAAGAGGUCCCUGGUUCGAUUCCAGGCGGCGGUACCA
rnacentral:tRNA from 1 species